AGAGUUUGAUCAUGGCUCAGAUUGAACGCUGGCGGCAGGCCUAACACAUGCAAGUCGAACGGUAACAUUUCUAGCUUGCUAGAAGAUGACGAGUGGCGGACGGGUGAGUAAUACUUAGGAAUAUGCCUUUGUGUGGGGGAUAACCAUUGGAAACGAUGGCUAAUACCGCAUAACGUCUUCGGACCAAAGGGGGCCUUGGCUCCCGCGCAAAGAGUAGCCUAAGCGAGAUUAGCUUGUUGGUGAGGUAAAGGCUCACCAAGGCGACGAUCUCUAGCUGUUCUGAGAGGAAGAUCAGCCACACUGGAACUGAGACACGGUCCAGACUCCUACGGGAGGCAGCAGUGGGGAAUAUUGCACAAUGGGGGAAACCCUGAUGCAGCCAUGCCGCGUGUGUGAAGAAGGCCUUCGGGUUGUAAAGCACUUUCAGUUGUGAGGAAAGGUUAACGGUUAAUACCCGUUAGCUGUGACGUUAGCAACAGAAGAAGGACCGGCUAACUCCGUGCCAGCAGCCGCGGUAAUACGGAGGGUCCGAGCGUUAAUCGGAAUUACUGGGCGUAAAGCGCACGCAGGCGGUUUGUUAAGCUAGAUGUGAAAGCCCUGGGCUCAACCUGGGAAUUGCAUUUAGAACUGGCAGGCUAGAGUUUUGGAGAGGGGAGUGGAAUUCCAGGUGUAGCGGUGAAAUGCGUAGAUAUCUGGAGGAACAUCAGUGGCGAAGGCGACUCCCUGGUCAGUAACUGACGCUCAUGUGCGAAAGUGUGGGUAGCGAACAGGAUUAGAUACCCUGGUAGUCCACACCGUAAACGCUGUCUACUAGCUGUUUGUGGAUUUAAUCCGUGAGUAGCGAAGCUAACGCGAUAAGUAGACCGCCUGGGGAGUACGGCCGCAAGGUUAAAACUCAAAU
rnacentral:rRNA from 1 species